GACGUAGGGCGCGAGCGUUUGUCCGGAUUUAUUGGGCGUAAAGAGCUCGUAGGCGGCUUGUCGCGUCGACUGUGAAAUCCCGCGGCUCAACCGCGGGUCUGCAGUCGAUACGGGCAGGCUAGAGUUCGGUAGGGGAGACUGGAAUUCCUGGUGUAGCGGUGAAAUGCGCAGAUAUCAGGAGGAACACCGGUGGCGAAGGCGGGUCUCUGGGCCGAUACUGACGCUGAGGAGCGAAAGCGUGGGGAGCGAACAGG
rnacentral:rRNA from 1 species